CGAGACUUACCUAGCUUGCUUAGUAAGUUUAGUGGCGGACGGGUGAGUAACACGUGAGCAACCUGCCCAGAAGAAAGGGAUAGCUCGGGGAAACUCGAAUUAAUACCAUAUGUGAUCCUGUGAUGCAUAUCACGGGAAUGAAAAGGUGCCUUCGGGUGCCGCUUCUGGAUGGGCUCGCGGCCUAUCAGCUUGAUGGUGAGGUAACGGCUCACCAUGGCAUUGACGGGUAGCUGGUCUGAGAGGACGACCAGUCACACUGGAACUGAGACACGGUCCAGACACCUACGGGUGGCAGCAGUCGAGAAUCAUUCGCAAUGGACGAAAGUCUGACGGUGCGACGCCGCGUGGAGGAUGACGGUCUUCGGAUUGUAAACUCCUGUCAUCGAAGAGUAAGGUUUGCAGGUUAAUACCCUGUAAAAUUGAUAGUAUUCGAAGAGGAAGGGACGGCUAACUUCGUGCCAGCAGCCGCGGUAAUACGAAGGUCCCAAGCGUUGUUCGGAAUCACUGGGCGUAAAGGGAGCGUAGGCGGUGAGGUAAGUCAGAUGUGAAAUUCCAGGGCUCAACCCUGGAACUGCAUCCGAUACUGCCUCACUUGAGUAGUGGAGGGGCAUCUGGAAUUCACGGUGUAGCAGUGAAAUGCGUAGAGAUCGUGAGGAACACUAGUGGCGAAGGCGAGAUGCUGGACACUUACUGACGCUGAGGCUCGAAGGCCAGGGUAGCGAAAGGGAUUAGAUACCCCUGUAGUCCUGGCAGUAAACGGUGCACGUUUGGUGUGAGAAGGUUCGACCCUUUUCGUGCCGGAG
rnacentral:rRNA from 1 species